UAUAAAACAAAUAAUGAAUGUUUUUAUUCGUGCAAUGGUAAGAAUAUUUUCAUUCGGUGAAAGAUGGAAUGUUCCAUUCAACUCGGCUGUCGCCUCGUUGAAUGGAACAUUCCAUCUUUCACCUCAUGAAAAUAUUCUUACCAUUGCACGAAUAAAAACAUUCAUUAUUUGUAUA